rnacentral:rRNA from 1 species
CUGGCGGCGUGCCUAACACAUGCAAGUCGCACGAGAAAGUGGAGCAAUCCAUGAGUAAAGUGGCGCACGGGUGAGUAACACGUGAAUCAUCUACCUCCGAGUGGGGAAUAACCUAGAGAAAUCUGGGCUAAUACCGCAUAACACUUACGAGUCAAAGCAGCAAUGCGCUUGGAGAGGAGUUCGCGGCCGAUUAGUUAGUUGGCGGGGUAAUGGCCCACCAAGACGAUGAUCGGUAUCCGGCCUGAGAGGGCGCACGGACACACUGGAACUGAAACACGGUCCAGACUCCUACGGGAGGCAGCAGUGGGGAAUUUUGCGCAAUGGGGGAAACCCUGACGCAGCAACGCCGCGUGGAGGAUGAAAUCCCUUGGGAUGUAAACUCCUUUCGAUCGGGACGAUUAUGACGGUACCGGAAGAAGAAGCCCCGGCUAACUUCGUGCCAGCAGCCGCGGUAAUACGAGGGGGGCAAGCGUUGUUCGGAAUUAUUGGGCGUAAAGGGCGCGUANGCGGUCUGACAAGUCUGAUGUGAAAUCUCUGGGCUCAACCCAGAGUCUGC